AACGAACGCUGGCGGCAGGCUUAACACAUGCAAGUCGAGCGCCCCGCAAGGGGAGCGGCAGACGGGUGAGUAACGCGUGGGAAUCUACCCAUCUCUACGGAAUAACGCAUGGAAACGUGUGCUAAUACCGUAUACGUCCUUCGGGAGAAAGAUGUAUCGGAGAUGGAUGAGCCCGCGUUGGAUUAGCUAGUUGGUGGGGUAAAGGCCUACCAAGGCGACGAUCCAUAGCUGGUCUGAGAGGAUGAUCAGCCACACUGGGACUGAGACACGGCCCAGACUCCUACGGGAGGCAGCAGUGGGGAAUAUUGGACAAUGGGCGCAAGCCUGAUCCAGCCAUGCCGCGUGAGUGAUGAAGGCCCUAGGGUUGCAAAGCUCUUUCACCGGUGAAGAUAAUGACGGUAACCGGAGAAGAAGCCCCGGCUAACUUCGUGCCAGCCGCCGCUGUAACAC
rnacentral:rRNA from 1 species